UAAGGUUAGUGGACCAAAGUGCUGAACAUUCUACAGAAAACUGACUUUUCCCCACACAGAAAAUGAGCUACACCUACUGAAUAAAAGGCCCCAUUUCAGAGUAAGAAGGUAGAGAAAGUAAAACCUGGAUUCAUGCUACAUUGGUGGCUCCCUAUGAGAAGUGGUAUCUUCUACAAAAAAAAAAGGAAAUACCCACUUCCAGCUGCUCAGAAGCUGAGCAUCUCACCUCCAGCAAAGCAAGUCAGCCAGCAGUUCUACUCAAAGAUCUUCCAGCAACAAAGGAGGAAUGGGGGUGGGGGAGGCAGCGGAACAGGACAGUGGAUUCCAUCAGCCUGCCUACCUCACAAGCCUCAGCAGCACUGCAGUAGAUUCCAGCUGCUCCAACUCGCUGCUCGACCCACGUGUUUCUCUCCCAUCACACACCAAUCUGAUGACAGAGCUCACCCAACAGAUGAAUCAUUUCAAACUUACAUAACGUCAAAGGCAAAGAGAUUUCUUCCAUUUUGAAAGACAGAAGUGUACAGUUUGGUCUACAUCAACCUGCAUCCCAAAAUUACUCCUGACAGGCAGCUAUCAGACAAGGAUUACCAGACAAGAAUUACGAGAUUUCAUUCAGAACAAGGCACGUAUUACUCCAUCUUGUAUCUCAGAUGGCAAACAUAACCAAACAACACCCUGGAAUACAGAACGGAUUCCUGGGAACAGCAUAUCAGCAGAGAAACUGGGACUGCCCAUAGAAUUAACCUGCUAUCAGCCCGUGCACAACUGCGAGCACUGAGCUCAGUGCCUCCUGUCCCUGAAACAGCACACACAGUACUCUCAGAAAGACAACUUACCCUUACACAGCAUGACUGAAGACAAUCAUGUUUCCAAUAUUUAUUCACUGAAGAUGACCACACUUACUUCAAUUUUGCCACAGGGAACUCAUCCACUGCAAGUCCCAUUCUACAGAUUCAUUUAUUAAAAAAGCCUGCUAAAAGACCAAAUCAAGUAUUAAUUUGAAGUAAUUCUGUAUUAGUUCCCACCGCUGCUGCCAUUAUCCUACUGUGCAAAUACCCACUCUGAAAAAUAAACAUUCACGUGGAAAAUGAACUUAAAUCCUUAUGUAUUUUUAAAUGCAAUUUGGACAAUCGUAUCCUCUCUGGAGUGGUAGAGCACACUAAUUUCCACUCAGUGCAAGUAAAGAAAUGGAAGCAUUUGUUAAAUGAUCGCUGACCUAGUAGAGCAGAGGGAAAGACACUGCUAUGGACCCCAUCCAAACCAGGCAAGAACAGGCUAUGCAGCCCCAGGGAACUGUGAGUUGAAAACUAAUUACUGCCUGGUUGAGGAGGGGCAAAGGGAAAUAUUUUGCAAGGAAGCCUCUAAGAAAGAUCUUAAAUGCAAACAGGCAAUGGAGAGAAACACAGAGAAACUACAGAUCAAUGAAGCUGCCUGCUUUUGCAUAAUUCCUAUUUUUAGGAAGUCAGCGUUUAAUAGAUUUAGUUAGGUGGGACAGACAAGACUGAGUAGUACCAAGUUCUGUUACUGCUUUUCUGCUACAGAAAGCUAACUAAGAAAACACAUUAUAGCAAAGUAUCCAGGCCAACAUGGGUAAUAGCAGCCUUGCUCACCUCUCAUAAGAAGGUGAACUCCUACCACAAUGCUUCCUAGUGCUACCAUGUUACUGAAUUUAGGCUACCUUCCCCCACCACAAAAGGACAGAAACAUCUGUUUGUAACAGAUUAGGAAACAAGAAUCUUGUUAGAGAUUACUAAAUACCCUUAAGAAUAUCAAUACUUCUGAAAACAUAAUGUCAACUCAAUUUCUUAGCACCUACAUUGUGCCUAAUGCCUGUAAAUAUAUGUAAACUAAAAAAUUCUCAAUGGGUGAAGGCUAGAAACAACUCUGAAGAGUUACUGAAGAUCCCACAGAGUUACAAAUAGCAGGUGAGAGCAAAGCACCCAGUCCUGCAGGCUUGCUUGUAGCCUACGAGUUCCCCAAGGGUAUUCUAGGCAAGAAAAAUCUAUAGAUAACAGAAGCAGACAUUUUCCCCAGCCAAGUCUCUACCCCAUGACCUUGGCAGAGCUCACUGCUCCCCUGGAUCCACAAGAUUCAAACUGGAUCUGCCAGCAUUCAAAUUAAUGCUUUCUUCAUUUUCUCAGCACAACUCCUUGAAGCAAGAACAUCCCCAUGUUUGUGAACACAGAGCGCAUAUUUGAACAAUAUGCCCCUAAAAUAGCAUAAUUAUAAGACAAGACAAUGUUUUCAAGACAUUUUGGACUCAACAUACAUAAAUGCACAGAACCACAGAAUUCAUUUUGAGACUUCCCCGUGGCUAUUUGCUUAAUCAGUACGUUCACUGAAGAAGUCAUUAGCAAUAUUAUUUGCCUGAGAAAACAUUGAACAUAGCUUGAUACUAAUUUUUGCUGCAUUUAUACUAUGACCAGGAAAAAUUCAAGAGAUACAAAUGACUGAUGUCUUUCUUAACCAGAGGGUAGCUUGCUGUACAGAUUACAUAACUUCAAACAUCCUCUAAAGUAAAAAAUAAGCCUUUGAUUCAAAUACCACCAAUUAACUCAAACAGGCAUCUAGAGUUUGACUCGCUGUUAACAAACUGAACAUGGAGACCUCAACUUCUUACAUUUAGACGUGUACAGCUUAGCAGCCUUCACACUGACCGACCAGAUGUGCUCAGUGCACGCCUCCCAGUGCACCACACAUCACCUUUCCUGUCAGUUCUAGAGCAGGGGAGAACAAAACAGAAGAGAAAAUCCUACUUCAUGCUGCCAGCUGAUUGGUAUGGCCGGUAGCACAGCAGGCAGUCAAGUGCUUGUUCUGAACAUCACUGACUGACAGAAACUGGUUUUGGAUGAGUGUUUUGAAGCCUUUUUUCACAAUGACAUAAGCCUUGUAUCUAUUCUCACAGUAUGCAACAGCACAAUGUGUGCCUUGACAUACCUGAGAAGCACAACAAACCAUUUCUAGUUGUCUUCCUCGAUGCAAGGAUUAGUUAGCUGCUCACUGAUAAGGUUUUACCGAUUUUCCAUCCUAUAAAGAUAAAAUCAGCUCCCAGGCACAGUCAGAUCUCAAUCUCUCUUUACAUUAAUCUUUGUCCUAUGCAUUGAACUAGAAGCAAACUCCAUACAUACUUCACAACAACACACAGACUCGUAGAGCUCUGAGCUUCUCUCAUGCAGCUGACACUGGAAAAAAACACCUCAAUUACCAUUCAGUAGCUGCAGUUGCCUAUCACCAUAAUUGCAUGAAUUUAAGUUUUAAAAGUUCUGGGUAAUCUUUUCUGAAAACAAUAUAUAAAUUGAAGUAAUUUCUUAGGUCCAUGCACAACCUAAAGAACAAUAUCAAAAUUAAAUGUUUCAGGAUUGUUUCCAGCAAGUAGAAGAUAAUUUCUGAUGUUAAAUUCACUCAGCUUAUUUCUGGUACUUCAUGUUACUUCUUCACAUGCAUUUUCUACUUUAUUGUUAUGCUUGAAGAAUCUCACCAACAUUGAGAGAACUGAUCUAACGUUCUAGAUAUAAACGUUCGAGUGAUAUAAAGGUCUCAAAGCGAAGAACAAAACACUGUUACAAACCCUGUAUCAUAGACUUACACAUAGUAUAAAGCACACUUGAAAAGCCGGUGCAUACAGCCUCUACAAAGAAUGAAGUCAUUAGCGUCUCUGAAUGUGAUUCUGGGUAGAGUACUAAGCUAUGUUUAUGAAAACCAUAAGAGGAACCAAGGAGUCCUAGCAAUCUGCAAGUAUUGAACUGUUACUGUGACCCAUUUCUCUACUUCUCAUUGGAGCAGUAACAGAUACUUGCCUGGAGCUGGAGAGGCAGCUAGAACAAAAAUCCAAUUAAUUACAGGACUGAGGUGAAGGGAAGGGAAAUAUUCUCUGCACGUACAUUUAAAACUAGAAUGAAGUCAAGAACUCAGGUUCAAAAUACAAAAGAAGUCGAGGAAUUAAAGAUUCUUCUCCUUACAUUUACUACUAAGGAACUUCUCCCUUCUUUUUAAAAUCCAGUGCAGACUGCAUAUGGACCCUCAGCUUAAAGGUGGAGAGCUUUACAUCUCGUUACUAAUACCCUGACACAGCCAUUCCCACAGCAUCCAUUAGUAUUGUUCAAGACUACAUUAGAAGAGAUUAGGCCCUCAGUGUUUCACAAUCACGGCCACCGCUAGAUUAGGCUGCAAGCAAGAUUCCAUUUGUCCCACCAUUUUGUGUUGUACACUACCAACAGCUACAGCAAACACUGAAAACCUUCGUGAAGCACAUUCUUACACAGCAUAGCUGUGAAAAAGUCAAGCAACCAAAAGUGAGCGGGAGCAGAGGGCAGCAGGAACUGCUGAUAACGGGGUGUAACACAGCAAUGCCAGCCAACAUUCCCACACGUACAAAUCAAGAAUUAUUGAGCUAAUAAAAAAAGUUGUUUUAGUUCUCCUCUGGUCAAGCGUGCCAAGAUAAACACGAGCACGGACACAGAUGUGGGCAUGGACACAAACCCUCAGAAGCUUGCAAGUAUGUUAAAGAAAACCUCUGUUAAGAGAUAAACAUUCACACCCUUUGUUUUAAUGCACUACACCCCUUAAAAUGAGAAACUGGAUACCGCAUCCAGAGGGGUGACAGACGGAAACAAGACCUGAAACUUAACACAGGAGUCCUCCAAUAUUCUCGUAUUUCUGAAAUAUUUAUCAUCUCUCCCUCAUCUUCUCCAUAACUAUUAAAGCUAUAAUCAGGGGCCCAGGAAUUAUUAGCUGAAGUAGAAUUACACUGCCUACAUUCUGACAGGAAACUUUGGCAAGGAAAUUCAUGUGAACUGUAUAGGUAAGAGUCAAGUCUGGGACAACGUUAUGUGACAAAUUAGGAGCAAAAAGACAGGCAAUAAUCUUCGACAGGAGACCAUUACAGGCUGCAAGAUCUUACUUGACAAGAAAAGGUCUGAAAAUAAACCAGUGAAGAGUUACAGCAGAAGCAGACUAUUUUGCAACACUCUUAAAUUAAGAUAACUUUCAGUGUAAUUAGUUCGGCUGCUAUCAUAAACAUGCACAAGGGCUCACAGUGCCAAUUUAAUGCCAAAGACCUGGAAGAAGUGUCAGGUGACUGCUAAGGGAAGAGGCAACGCUCAGUUUUAAUGCAUGCACACCAGUCCAAAAACAAAAGAGGUAACACCUGCGUAUUUUAUAAGUUUAGAAUGUUUGGAGUUCCUUUUGUUUUCAACUUCCUAAGACACUGCACGCAUGCGAGGAAUGUUAUUUUUCCACAACGUGGAAGCUUGCUAUACUUCAAGAGAAGAUUUUGUCCUACAGGUGGAAACUCAGCACCAGUUUUACAUGAGAGCACAGCAUGCAACAUUUCAGCCAGUGCAGUUUCCCACAGUUCCUCGCACAGCAGAAUUCCAACACAAGCUUACUAAUUUUAGGGACAAACAAUGCUUACUUUCACCGUCGUGCUUUCUGUUAAUCUGAAUGUACUUAAACAAGGUAAAAAUAAGUCCUACCCAUCCGUACAGCUGUGUGACAGCACCAGUUUGGAACAAUUACCAGCAGAACAAAUUACCUCGCUGACUGCAUGCAUUUACCGCUGAUAUUUCUGUGUACACACCGGUUAAUAUGUAGUAAGAAAUCUCUGAUGCGUACUUCGAAACAGGUACGCG